GCUGUGGUUCAAUGGAAGAACAUUUGCUUUGUGUGCACAUAGUCCUCGGUUCAGUUCAUGGCGUCUCCA
rnacentral:tRNA from 1 species